rnacentral:rRNA from 1 species
CAGAGGGUGCGAGCGUUAAUCGGAAUUACUGGGCGUAAAGCGCACGUAGUCGGCUUUGCAAGUCGGGUGUGAAAUCCCCGGGCUCAACCUGGGAACUGCAUCCGAGACUGCAUUGCUAGAGUAUGGGGAGAGGGAAGCGGAAUUUCUGGUGUAGCAGUGAAAUGCGUAGAUAUCAGAAGGAACAUCAGUGGCGAAGGCGGCUUCCUGGACCAAUACUGACGAUCAGGUGCGAAAGCGUGGGGAGCAAACAGGAUUAGAUACCCUGGUAGUCCACGCCCUAAACGAUGAGAACUGGAUGUCGGGAGGGUUUGCCUUCCGGUGUCGUAGCUAACGCGUUAAGUUCUCCGCCUGGGAAGUACGGCCGCAAGGUUG